CGUACACUCCUGCGGGAGGCAGCAGUGGGGAAUAUUGCACAAUGGGCGCAAGCCUGAUGCAGCCAUGCCGCGUGUAUGAAGAAGGCCUUCGGGUUGUAAAGUACUUUCAGCGGGGAGGAAGGCGAUAAGGUUAAUAACCUUGUUGAUUGACGUUACCCGCAGAAGAAGCACCGGCUAACUCCGUGCCAGCAGUCGCGGUAAUACGGAGGGUGCAAGCGUUAAUCGGAAUUACUGGGCGUAAAGCGCACGCAGGCGGUCUGUCAAGUCGGAUGUGAAAUCCCCGGGCUCAACCUGGGAACUGCAUUCGAAACUGGCAGGCUAGAGUCUUGUAGAGGGGGGUAGAAUUCCAGGUGUAGCGGUGAAAUGCGUAGAGAUCUGGAGGAAUACCGGUGGCGAAGGCGGCCCCCUGGACAAAGACUGACGCUCAGGUGCGAAAGCGUGGGGAGCAAACAGGAUUAGAUACCCGUGUAGUCCCA
rnacentral:rRNA from 1 species